rnacentral:piRNA from 1 species
GACCGCAGGAGCUGCGAAGUCCCCAC